rnacentral:tRNA from 1 species
AGGAUAAUAGUUAAACCUGUAUAACAUUUAAGUUGCAUUUAAAAAUUACUAAACAAGUUUAUCUUA